rnacentral:tRNA from 1 species
ACGGGUUUAGCUCAGUCGGUAGAGCGACGGUCUCCAAAACCGUAGGUCGAGAGUUCGAGCCUUUCAACCCGUG